rnacentral:rRNA from 1 species
UGCGAGUNNNNCGCAGGGUGGCGCACGGCUCAGUAACACGUAGNNNNNNNACCCUGAGGACGAGGAUAACCCCGGGAAACUGGGGAUAAACCUCGAUAGGUCAUAGCUCCUGGAAUGGGCUAUGACUCAAAUCUAUAUGGCCUCAGGAUGGGACUGCGUCCGAUCAGGUUGUUGGUGGGGUAAUGGCCCACCAAGCCUAUNACCGGUACGGGCUCUGAGAGGAGGAGCCCGGAGAUGGGCACUGAGACAAGGGCCCAGGUCCUAUGGGGCGCAGCAGGCGCGAAACCUCCGCAAUGGGCGAAAGCCCGACGGGGUUAGUCCGAGUGGCUCCCGCUAAGGNAGUCUUUUGCCAGCUGUAAACAGGCUGGUGAAUAAGGGGUGGGCAAGCCUGGUGUCAGCCGCCGCGNUAAUACCAGCACNCCGAGUGGUCGGNAUGAUUAUUGGGCCUAAAGCAUCCGUAGCCGGUGUAACAAGNCNUCCGUUAAAUCCACCUGCUUAACAGGUGGGCUGCGGAGGAUACUGUUACACUAGGAGGCGGGAGAGNNGAGGGGUAUUCNNCGNGUAGGGGUAAA